CAUGGUUGUCGUCAGCUCGUGUCGUGAGAUGUUGGGUUAAGUCCCGCAACGAGCGCAACCCUUGUCUUUAGUUGCCAUCAUUAAGUUGGGCACUCUAGAGAGACUGCCAGGGAUAACCUGGAGGAAGGUGGGGAUGACGUCAAAUCAUCAUGCCCCUUAUGCUUAGGGCUACACACGUGCUACAAUGGGUAGUACAGAGGGUUGCCAAGCCGUAAGGUGGAGCUAAUCCCUUAAAGCUACUCUCAGUUCGGAUUGUAGGCUGAAACUCGCCUACAUGAAGCUGGAGUUACUAGUAAUCGCAGAUCAGAAUGCUGCGGUGAAUGCGUUCCCGGGUCUUGUACACACCGCCCGUCACACCACGGGAGUUGGAGACGCCCGAAGCCGAUUAUCUAACCUUUUGGAAGAAGUCGUCGAAGGUGGAAUCAAUAACUGGGGUGAAGUCGUAACAAGGUAGCCGUAUCGGAA
rnacentral:rRNA from 1 species